UGAGGAAUAUUGGUCAAUGGGCGAGAGCCUGAACCAGCCAAGUAGCGUGCAGGAUGACGGCCCUAUGGUUUGUAAACUGCUUUUAUAUGGGAAUAAAGUGAGGGACGUGUCCCUUAUUGCAUGUACCAUAUGAAUAAGGACCGGCUAAUUCCGUGCCAGCAGCCGCGGUAAUACGGAAGGUCCAGGCGUUAUCCGGAUUUAUUGGGUUUAAAGGGAGCGUAGGCUGUUUGUUAAGCGUGUUGUGAAAUGUAAGAGCUCAACUUUUAGAUUGCAGCGCGAACUGGCAGACUUGAGUGCGCACAACGUAGGCGGAAUUCAUGGUGUAGCGGUGAAAUGCUUAGAUAUCAUGACGAACUCCGAUUGCGAAGGCAGCUUACGGGAGCGCAACUGACGCUAAAGCUCGAAGGUGCGGGUAUCGAACAGG
rnacentral:rRNA from 1 species